AUAAGCAAUUAUACAGCGAAACUGCGAAUGGCUCAUUAAAUCAGUUAUCGUUUAUUUGAUAGUACCUUACUACUUGGAUAACCGUGGUAAUUCUAGAGCUAAUACAUGCUAAAAACCUCAACUUCGGAAGGGGUGUAUUUAUUAGAUUAAAAACCAAUGCCCUUCGGGGCUCUCUGGUGAUUCAUAAUAACUUGUCGAAUCGCAUGGCCUUGCGCCGGCGAUGGUUCAUUCAAAUUUCUGCCCUAUCAACUUUCGACGGCUAGGUAGUGGCUAGCCAUGGUGACAA
rnacentral:rRNA from 1 species